AAAAGUAGUUUAACUCCGUGGCGAUAAAAUUCAGAAGAAGUCGGGGAACUCCAUUAUCCGGAGGCGUGGCAAUACAACUUUCCUUUUCAACGUGGUCGUGGAUCGUUUCCUGGCGAAUCUUCGGCAACGAUCGGCACCUUGGAUCUCGGUGUUGCGGAAUCGGAUACGCGUCGUACCGGCCAAUUUCCUUCGACCUAUCUGCAGCCAUAUUUUCAUGAGAUUCGCCGGCAGGCAGCUCGCGAACCAUAGCGACAACGGCCACGAUAAUAACUAAACUUUCGAUUGCCGGGGCGAACCAUUAAGAUAAGACGGUAAAAGGGAACGAGAAGGCAGCAUUUAAGGGGACGAAAGGAAGAGGAAGGAGGAGAGAUAGAGCGUGACGAAAUCGAGAGGAGGGAAAGGAGGAGUGUUGGGAAAAGGAAGGCGAAAUGAGACGAUCCUUCUGAAAGGAAGCCAAGAUCGUGAGAAGGAAGGGGGUAAAGGAUACGGUGCUGGGAAAACUAGAAAAGGAGACACUGAUAUUCAUCUGCCUUCCGGGAGAUCGAUUAAGAUUAAACGCCUAGUUGGCCGGCUUAAGUCGGGCUACAAUGGAAAAGCUGAGAUUGGGUUUCACGGAUUGAAAUCAACGACGUAGCCGUUUAAUUUGCAAAUGGAAAGGGUCGUGGUCACUCUGUCCUGUCCUUCUAUUUCUUGUCCCCCUCUUCAAGGAGGAUGGGGUGACAGGUGAGGCGUUUGGUCACGGAAUAUUCUCGCCUCGUUGCAUUCGAAUUCCUUGCCAAACCUCCGCCUUGGUUAUUGUUGCUGAAGCUAGAAUGGGGAUGGAUUCUGUUGAAACUACUUUGAGGAGUAGAUUCCAUGGGUUCGGGUUGUUCUGAUUGAUGGCGUGAUAUUUGGAAAUAAGAUAUCGUUUCGCACGGAAAUUAGAGUACUUUAGAAUGCGGAUCAAUGUUGGAACUGAAGUACAAUUUCAGUCAGAAGCGUAAAUUCGGCUACUCCAAUUUGUAAAAUUAUUUGUUUCAAGCAGUCGCCAAAUUCGAACUGGCGAAAUAAAUAAGUUUAACAAGAGAUGCAUUACAUUUCCCCUCAUGUUAUGAAGCGAAGCAAAUUAUUUAAACAUCGACCACGUAGUCAUCAUGCGCCGUUACUAAUUAAAAUGUUUGAGCAACAGUUGCAAUUAUAGCGCGGAAAUUGCAGCAGAACACGCUUGAACGUAUCGCGUGACAAAUUAUUUCGUACACCUAUCCUCUCUCCUCUUUAUACGUACCAAGCUGUGCUGUUUCUUUCGUAAAUGCUCUAACAACAUUCAAGCCUCAUCGACGUUACGAUAAAAGUUGGGUGGUUCGUUUUAUUAACGCAGUUAAAGAGCAAUUAGCUUACUCGAGCAUGUGAGUAUCGCCGAAUUGGUCACGAACUGUCUAAAAAUUGUUCUUCUCUGUUGCUCUGCUAGGGGAAACGUACUCCAACCAUUAGAGAUACUAUUAAAUUAAAGAUGGGGUAUUCCAGCAAUUUUCGAGCGGUUGGGCAAAGAUCAGUGGACGUUCCAGAUGGUAGGACAUUCCAGGGAUGAGAGAAAGUCACUGGCCCAUGAGGUCGACGAUCUUUGGUGAAGUAAACCGGCUAACGUUGAAUUAGUGGACACAACACCGCAAUGCCACCACGGCAUCGAUAAUUCUGCAGUUCUGUGGCCCUUCUCAUUGGACCUAGGACGCAUGCCAUUCAAACAAUCUACACCAUGUACAGAAGGAAAUUAUAUAUGUACAAAUUUCAAUUUGAUAUUAAUUUCACCAAAAAUGAAAUCUGCAACGCAGUGAAACAAAUAGGAAAAUAAUUAAA